UACGUAGGGUGCAAGCGUUGUCCGGAAUUAUUGGGCGUAAAGAGCUCGUAGGCGGUCUGUCACGUCAGACGUGAAAUCCCUCGGCUCAACCGGGGAACUGCGUCUGAUACUGGGUGGCUUGAAUCCGGGAGAGGGAUGCGGAAUUCCAGGUGUAGCGGUGAAAUGCGUAGAUAUCUGGAGGAACACCGGUGGCGAAGGCGGCAUCCUGGACCGGCAUUGACGCUGAGGCGCGAAAGCCAGGGGAGCAAACGGG
rnacentral:rRNA from 1 species